rnacentral:rRNA from 1 species
UACAGAGGUCCCGAGCGUUGUCCGGAAUUACUGGGCGUAAAGAGCUCGUAGGUGGUUUGUCGCGUUGUUCGUGAAAACUCACAGCUCAACUGUGGGCGUGCGGGCGAUACGGGCAGACUUGAGUACUGCAGGGGAGACUGGAAUUCCUGGUGUAGCGGUGGAAUGCGCAGAUAUCAGGAGGAACACCGGUGGCGAAGGCGGGUCUCUGGGCAGUAACUGACGCUGGAGGAGCGAAAGCCGUGGGGAGCGAACAGG